GAAAGUUAAAUCCUACAUGCUUAAGAAUGUGCUGACUCGUGGGACAGACGAGCUGACUCGAAGUAAAAAUGAGUCGACUUAAAGUAAAAAUAAAUUGACUCAUGGCUUGAGACAAGCUAUAACGGCUAGUUUUUUGCACUUCUCUAAUGGCUAAUUUUUGUUCCUAACGGCUAUUUCAAGAGCUCCAACAGUCAAAACUCAUUCUUCAGCCAUUUUCAAGUUAUAAAAAGCUAGAAAAUUAUUUGAAAAAAAAGAUUAAGUGGAUUUAAAGAGAGAAUCUUUUACUUUUGUGAGAAAUAUUGAAUAUCCAAAAAGAAAAAGAAAAGAGAGGGAUUUGAGCACAGAUUUCAGUGG
rnacentral:lncRNA from 1 species